rnacentral:rRNA from 1 species
GCCCAGUAACGGCGAGUGAAGCGGCAAGAGCUCAAAUUUGAAAGCUGGCUCCUUCGGGGUCCGCAUUGUAAUUUGCAGAGGAUGCUUCGGGAGCGGUCCCCAUCUAAGUGCCCUGGAACGGGACGUCAUAGAGGGUGAGAAUCCCGUAUGGGAUGGGGUGUCCGCGCCCGUGUGAAGCUCCUUCGACGAGUCGAGUUGUUUGGGAAUGCAGCUCUAAAUGGGUGGUAAAUUUCAUCUAAAGCUAAAUAUUGGCCGGAGACCGAUAGCGCACAAGUAGAGUGAUCGAAAGAUGAAAAGCACUUUGAAAAGAGAGUUAAAAAGCACGUGAAAUUGUUGAAAGGGAAGCGCUUGCGACCAGACUCGCUCGCGGGGUUCAGCCGGCAUUCGUGCCGGUGUACUUCCCCGCGGGCGGGCCAGCGUCGGUUUGGGCGGUCGGUCAAAGGCCCUCGGAAGGUAACGCCCCUAGGGGCGUCUUAUAGCCGAGGGUGCAAUGCGACCUGCCUAGACCGAGGAACGCGCUUCGGCUCGGACGCUGGCAUAAUGGUCGUAAGCGACCC